rnacentral:rRNA from 1 species
AUGUUGGAGUUCUGCAGCACCACGUCCACAACGGAGCCUAGCGCAAGCCGGUACACCGGGCUGCCCACGGUCCCGUUCGUCGGCGCCGGCGCGGAGAUGUCGUGGCUCAUGUGGUCGUACAUGUCGGGCGGCGGGCGUUGCUCGUACGCGUCUUUCAUGCCGCGCUUCAUCGCCACGAGGUACGGCGUGGCCGGGAACAUGAGCGACACGCCAUUGAUGGUCCACUUGAUGUGGCCAUCAAUCCGGUUCUGGGUGUUGAGGAAGAGCAGCGUGCGGUCGGCCCUCGCCGGCAUGGGCUCUACGAAGUGUGGGUGCGCGAAGAUGGCCCUGCUCUGA